rnacentral:rRNA from 1 species
UACGUAGGGGGCAAGCGUUGUCCGGAUUUAUUGGGCGUAAAGAGCGUGUAGGCGGCUUGGUAGGUCUCGCGUCAAAACCUGAGGCUCAACCUCAGUUCGCGUGGGAAACCACCUAGCUAGAGUCCGGAAGAGGAGAACGGAAUUCCCAGUGUAGCGGCGAAAUGCGCAGAUAUUGGGAAGAACACCAGUGGCGAAGGCGGUUCUCUGGGACGGUACUGACGCUGAGACGCGAAAGCGUGGGGAGCGAACAGG